rnacentral:tRNA from 2 species
GGGCCUCUAGCUCAACUGGCAGAGCAGCGGACUUUUAAUCCGCGGGUUCAGGGUUCGAGCCCCUGGGGGCCCA